CCUACCUCUCUCCCCGCUGUAUGUCCAAAAUGUCUCUUUCUAACAAGCUGACGCUGGACGAGCUGGACGUGUAAGGGGAGCGGGUCGUUAUGAGAGUCGACUUCAAUGUUCCUAUGAAGAACAACCAGAUAACAAACAACCAGAGGAUUAAGGCUGCUGUCCCAAGCAUCAAAUUCUGCUUAGAUAAUGGAGCAGAGUCAGUAGUCCUUAGGAGCCACCCAGGCCGGCCUGAUGGUGUCCCUAUGCCUGACAAAUACUCCUUAGAGCCAGUUGCUGUGGAACUCAAAUCUCUGCUGGGCAAGGAUGUUCUGUUCUUGAAGGGCUGUGUAGGCUCAGAAGUCGAGAAAGCCUGUGCCAACCCAGCUGCUGGGUCUGUCAUCCUGCUGGAGAACGUCCGCUUUCACGUGGAGGAAGAAGGGAAGGGAAAAGAUGCUUCUGGAGAGAAGGCUGAAGCUGAGCCAGCCAAAAUAGAAGCUUUCCGAGCUUCACUUUCCAAUACAGGGGAUGUCUAUGUUAACGAUGCUUUUGGCACUGCUCACAGAGCCCACAGUGCCAUGGUAGGAGUCAAUCUGCCACAGGAAGCUGGUGGUUUUUUGAUGAAGGAGCUGAACUACUUUGCCAAGGCCUUGGAGAGCCCAGAGUGACCCUUCCUGGCCAUGCUGGGCAGAGCUAAAGUUGCAGACAAGAUCCACCUGAUCAAUAAUAUGCUGGACAAAGUCAAUGAGAUGACUAUUGGGGGUGGAAUGACUUUUACCUUCUUUAAGGUGCUCAACAACACGGAGAUCGGUACUUCUCUGUUUGAUGAAGAGGGAGCCAAGAUUGUCAAAGACCUAAUGUCCAAAGCUGAGAAGAUUACCUUGCCCGUUGACUUUGUCACUGCUGACAAGUUUGAUGAGAAUGCCAAGGCUGGCCAAGCCACUGUGGCUUCUGGCAUUCCUGCCGGCUGGAUGGGCUUGGACUGUGGUCCUGAAAGCAGCAAGAAGUAUGCUGAGGCUGUCACUCGGGCUAAGCGGAUUGUGUGGAAGGGUCCUGUGGGGUUAUUCGAAUGGGAAGCUUUUGCCCGGGAAACAGAAGCCCUCGUGAACGAGGUGGUGAAAGCCACUUCUAGGGGCUGCAUCACCAUCAUAGGUGGUGGAGACAUUGCCACUUGCUGUGCCAAAUGAAACACGGAGGAUAAGGUCAGCCAUGUGAGCACUGGGGGAGGUGCCAGUCUAGAGCUCCUGGAAGGUAAAGUCCUUCCUGGGGUGGAUGCUCUCAGCAAUAUUCAGAACUUUCUUGCCUUUUAG